rnacentral:rRNA from 1 species
GACGAACGCUGGCGGCGUGCUUAACACAUGCAAGUCGAACGGAAAGGCCCUGCUUUUGUGGGGUGCUCGAGUGGCGAACGGGUGAGUAACACGUGAGUAACCUGCCCUUGACUUUGGGAUAACUUCAGGAAACUGGGGCUAAUACCGGAUAGGAGCUCCUGCUGCAUGGUGGGGGUUGGAAAGUUUCGGCGGUUGGGGAUGGACUCGCGGCUUAUCAGCUUGUUGGUGGGGUAGUGGCUUACCAAGGCUUUGACGGGUAGCCGGCCUGAGAGGGUGGCCGGCCUCAAUGGGCCUGAGAUACGGCCCAGACUCCUACGGGAGGCAGCAGGGGGGAAUAUUGCACAAUGGGCGGAAGCCUGAUGCAGCAACGCCGCGUGCGGGAUGACGGCCUUCGGGUUGUAAACCGCUUUCGCCUGUGACGAAGCGUGAGUGACGGUAAUGGGUAAAGAAGCACCGGCUAACUACGUG